UACGAAUGGGGCAAGCGUUGUUCGGAAUCACUGGGCUUAAAGCGUGCGCAGGCGGACAUAAAAGUCAGGAGUGAAAUCCCCGGGCUCAACCCGGGAAUUGCUUUUGAAACUGCAUGUCUAGAAUCCGGGAGAGGAUAGGAGAAUUCCCAGUGUAGAGGUGAAAUUCGCAGAUAUUGGGAGGAAUACCAGUGGCGUAGGCGCCUAUCUGGACCGGUAUUGACGCUCAGGCACGAAAGCGUGGGGAGCAAACAGG
rnacentral:rRNA from 1 species